ACGAACGCUGGCGGCGUGCUUAACACAUGCAAGUCGAACGGAAAGGCCCUGCUUUUGUGGGGUGCUCGAGUGGCGAACGGGUGAGUAACACGUGAGUAACCUGGCCUUGACUUUGGGAUAACUUCAGGAAACUGGGGCUAAUACCGGAUAGGAGCUCCUGCUGCAUGGUGGGGGUUGGAAAGUUUCGGCGGUUGGGGAUGGACUCGCGGCUUAUCAGCUUGUUGGUGGGGUAGUGGCUUACCAAGGCUUUGACGGGUAGCCGGCCUGAGAGGGUGACCGGCCCCAUUGGGACUGAGAUACGGCCCAGACUCCUACGGGAGGCAACAGUGGGGAAUAUUGCACAAUGGGCCGAAGCCUGAUGCAGCAACGCCGCGUGCGGGAUGACGGCCUUCGGGUUGUAAACCGCUUUCGCCUGUGACGAAGCGUGAGUGACGGUAAUGGGUAAAGAAGCACCGGCUAACUACGUG
rnacentral:rRNA from 1 species